rnacentral:misc_RNA from 1 species
GCAAACGCUUCCGAUGUGAGCCAUUUCGGGUACUUUCAGAGGUCCAGCGUCAAAGAAUUCAUAGUUUUUGUCAGUCGGACCGUCGCCAAACGCACCCCUCCCGGCCAACGCCAGUCUGUCCAGCACGAAGAGUACAAGGUGCAUUCUUACAACCGAAAUGGCCUGUGUGCAGUGGGGUUUAUGGAUGAUCCCUAUCCAGUCCGAAGUGCAUUUUCCGUUCUCAACCAGGAAGUAUCAGAAGAAUUUUGGUGAUUCAUGGAGGACUGUGCAGGCAGAUAAUGCUCAACCCUGGCCAUAUUUGAAUGAAGCAUUGACCAA